UCUCAAACACACACAGCACCCUUACAAACACAACACCCUCAAAUACAGCACACUAACAGCACCCUCACAAACACACACACAGCACCCUCACACACAGCACACUAACAGCACCCUCACAAAGACACGACACCCACACACAGCACACAAACAGCACCCUCAUACACACACACAUCACACAAACAGCAUCCUCACACAAACGGCACACUAACAGGACCCUAACAAACACACACACACAAACACCCUCACACACACAGCACACAAACAGCAUCGUCACACACAGCACACUAACAGCACCCUUACAAACACACACACACACAAACAUCCUCACCUACAUAGCACACUAACAGCACCCUCACACACACAGCACCCUCACACAGCACACUAACAGCACACACACACACAUCA